AGUGAACGCUGGCGGUAGGCCUAACACAUGCAAGUCGAACGGCAGCACAGUAAGAGCUUGCUCUUACGGUUGGCGAGUGGCGGACGGGUGAGGAAUACAUCGGAAUCUACUUUUUCGUGGGGGAUAACGUAGGGAAACUUACGCUAAUACCGCAUACGACCUACGGGUGAAAGCAGGGGAGCUUCGGACCUUGCGCGAUUGAAUGAGCCGAUGUCGGAUUAGCUAGUUGGCGGGGUAAAGGCCCACCAAGGCGACGAUCCGUAGCUGGUCUGAGAGGAUGAUCGGCCACACGGGAACUGAGACACGGUCCAGACUCCUACGGGAGGCAGCAGAGGGGAAUAUUGGACAAUGGGGGCAAGCCUGAUCCAGCCAGACCGCGUGGGUGAAGAAGGCCUUCGGGUGGUAAAGCCCGUUUGUUGGGAAAGAAAAGCAGCAGGUUAAUACCCCGCUGUUCGGACGGUACCCAAAGAAUAAGCACCGGCUAACUUCGU
rnacentral:rRNA from 1 species